CCUACGGGGGACAGCAGUAGGGAAUAUUGCUCAAUGGGGGAAACCCUGAAGCAGCAACGCCGCGUGGAGGAUGAAGGUUUUAGGAUUGGAAACUCCUUUUGUUAGAGAAGAUUAUGACGGUAUCUAACGAAUAAGCAACGGCUAACACCGUGCAGGCAGCCGUGGUAAUACGGAGGGUGCAAGCGUUACUCGGAAUAACUGGGCGUAAAGAGGGCGUAGGCGGGGUAAUAAGUCAGAUGUGAAAGCCUGUAGCUUAACCACAGAACUGCAUUUGAAACGGUUACUCUGGAGUGUGGGAGAGGUAGGUGGAAUUCUUGGUGUAGGGGUAAAAUCCGUAGAUAUCAAGAGGAAUUCUCAUUGCGAAGGCGGCCUGCUGGAACAUUACUGACGCUGAUGCACGAAAGCGUGGGGAUCAAACAGGAUUAGAUACCCCUGUAGUC
rnacentral:rRNA from 1 species